GGCAGGGUAGCUCAGUCGGUAGAGCAGAGGACUCAUAAGCCUUUGGUCCCGAGUUCGAAUCUCGGCCCUGCUA
rnacentral:tRNA from 1 species